CUCUUGAAUUCCGUCCGGUAAGAGGGUGAGGCUCCACAGGCCUCAGGGCCACACGGUCCUAGAGUGGCAGAGUUGGGCCUUUGCAAGGACUCUGAGUCCCAUUCCCCUCCUACUAACAGAUGGGAGAAUUGAGUCCCAGAUAGCGGAGGGGUAGGGAAUUCUUGCCUAAGAUCGCACAGCUCAAGACCUGGCUCAACUGAGUCCAGUAUGAGAAUGAUUGAGACAAUUCCCUCCCACCCCCAGAGUGCUUAGCACAGUAGCCUGUACAAAGUAAGUGCACAAUAAAUGGUAGCUGCUGUUUAUUAUUAAACCCAGUCUUCUGACUCUGAGCCCAGUGCUGUCUCCUUUGUUAUCCUCCCAAAGUGUACCUCUCCUAGGUGCUCAUCAGCCUUCAGUGACUUCCUGUUGCCAUUCUGAUGAAGUCUAAGCUUCUUGGCCUGACAUUCAAAGAUCCUUCUGAUUCUGUCCCAGCCUAUCAUGCCCGGGUAGCUGAGCUCUGCUGGAGAAAACCACAUAGCACUGCGGAUUGCUGCCACUAUGGAGCUUCCUCGAGCAUCCAGCAGGGCCCCCUUGACCUGAGGUGCAGCCCUCGUGAACCGAUCUGCAGCUACACUCAACCAUCUCGCCAGUCUCAGGAUGAGGUGGCCUUGCCCCGCUUCAAAGCCUGCUCCUCCACCUGUGCUCUGGAGCCACGUCUGCCAGCAUCACUGGGUCCUCGACCCUGCCUCUCACUUGCUCUCCUGGCUCUUGCUCUUCAACUUAUGAAUGUGUCUCAGUUUUUUUCAUCUUAAAAUAACAGUAACAUUAGCAAAAUCUCCUUUGACCCAGCAUCCCUAUGGUGGGUAAUCAGCAGUGUAUCAAUCCCCCCCUCCACCACCAUCAGAACAUCUCAAAAGAGUAGUCUACACUCAGCAGUCUUGAUUUCCUCACUAUCGUCUUAAUUCCUCAACCUGUUGCAAUUUGGCAUUUACCCCGAAAACUGCUUUGACCUCCUAAUUAACCAAAUCCAGUGAGCUCUUGUCCAUUGCUGUGUCUGCUGCAUUAAUGGCUAUUUACUACUCUCUCCUUUCAGUGCCUGGGCUUUUUUCCCCAGUUCCUAUAAAGUGCCAAGGCCCAAAUCUCUUUAUCUAUCCCAGGCUUCUCCCCCAAGAUUCAGCCUCCUGUAUUUGAUUAUAUGUCAGACAUCUCCCCACGGAUGGCCGACAGUUACUUUACUGUGACCAGAAGAGAAUUGGUCAUCUUACUCUCAACCCCAAUCCCAAAGUGAUCUCCUCUUUUGCUCCCUAUCUCUCUUGGUGGUAUCACUAUCUAUGCUAUUACGUUGACUCUCAAGCACCUCCCAAAUCUGAGAUUUUGUGUUGCCAUGUAUACUUCCCAUAGUGUCUCCUUCCCUCUAUCAGACUUAAGUUUUUCAAAGGUAAGAGCUCUGUAUUAGCCAUCUGUGCCCUAAACCACCACACAAAUCCAGGCCCUAAACAGACCUCAGUAAACAUCGUUGAACCAGAGUGUAGUGCUCUCUUUGGUGGGAGCUAAAUUUGUGCUUGGGGACUGAAUGAAGUGGGAGUCUAGAUGCCAAGACCCUCUUAGUCCCCUGAUCCCUCCAUAGAGUCGGAAAGUCAUUCUUGAACCCUAAUGGAAUUUAGGGCACGGUAGUAGUUUAUAAGAGAAAAAAAUAUAGCUUUGUAGACAAAGUAAGCCAGGGCAAGAACUCCAGGACAUGGAACUGAACCAAACAGCCAAAUAUCCAGAUGUGUAUGCUCUAGACUAGAAGUGAUAUGGAUGGGUGGGUAACUGGGAGGAGAACCAAAAGACUUGGAGGGGUUAGGAAAGCAUGAUAGGUCAUUUGAGCAAUUCCAGGAGGAGAAUAAACGAUGUUUCAAAGUCUAGAAAGACCAUGGUGUGUGAAUGUAAUGGGGGGAGGGAGUGAAAAGAGCAGCAUGGAGAGGUUUGGAUAGGUGGCCUUCAAGGUACUUUCC